rnacentral:rRNA from 1 species
UACAGAGGUCCCAAGCGUUGUUCGGAUUCAUUGGGCGUAAAGGGUGCGUAGGCGGCGCGGUAAGUCGGGUGUGAAAUCUCGGGGCUUAACUCCGAAACUGCAUUCGAUACUGCCGUGCUUGAGGACUGGAGAGGAGACUGGAAUUUACGGUGUAGCGGUGAAAUGCGCAGAUAUCAGGAGGAACACCCGUGGCGAAAGCGGCUCUCUGGGACGGUACUGACGCUGAGACGCGAAAGCGUGGGGAGCAAACAGG